rnacentral:lncRNA from 1 species
UGAAAAUGUUCACCAGGUUUGAAUUGUCUUAGGAACUUGAAGAAAGAGAACCCUCAUUUUUAUGAGAUCUAAUCUAUUUAUUUGGGGUGCAUCUGAAUGAAUGAGCAUCUUAUUUAACUGGGCAAUCCUGUGUGUUCCAGCUGCAGAUGAAGAGAUUGCUUCGCUUCAAACCUCCUGACUGCCAUGGAACCAUCUGGCACAUGCACGUGUGUGGGGAGGUGAGACACCAGCUAACACUAAAGUCUUCAGCUGGUAGAAUAGAAGUGGAGAGUGGGGCAAAGUACUUCACCCUAGUGUGAUUCAGAAUCUUCUUGGGCUCAAGAGAAUGCCACUGCCUCUACCUCCAAUCCUCAACAUCUUGCCGGAGAUUUUGAUUAAUCUUUCUACAGCUUACAAUAGGUAUGUCCU